rnacentral:sRNA from 5 species
AUUCUGCCCAUGCGGGGAAGGAUGAGAAGCUUCGACCAAGGUUCGACUUGAGCGCCAGCGAGAGAGCGUUGCCGCAGGCAACGACCCGAAGGGCGAAGCGCGCAGCGCUGAGUAAUCCUUCCCCCACCACCA